UCAGUGCACUACAGAACUUGGU
rnacentral:miRNA from 1 species